CAGACAUACCAGGGUCUAUGAGAGAUUUCUGCUUGAUCUUUGAAGGGCAGGAGAAUAUUAAGUAAGAAUAGAAACUGGAUUUCAUGAGGAUCAGUCCCACAUUUCUAACAAGGAGAUGGAAAAAUCUCUUUUAACAUUCUUCUGUGGAAGAAUAAACACUUUCCAGAACUGCAAGUUGUGCUGAGACAAAGUUAUUGGAAGUUGCGUGGGAUAGUUCAAUCCAAGCAUACUGGAAGUGUCUGAUUUGAACCACUUGCCAGAGUGCAGCUGUGCUGUUUGGGGACAGGACCAGCCAUUGUGUGUGUGAUGAGGCAGCAGUUACCACAUUUCUGCUGUGAUGGAGGACGUGGCCAGUGACUUUUAUUGGCAGGAUGGGGAAGACCUUAUCAAUGUACAUUUAGAAGUAGUAACAGUGAACGUGCAGGAUAUAACUCACAUCAGUCAGUAGGUGGGCUGCCUUAAAGAGGAGUCUUGUUACAUCUGCUCUGCUUAUAAGCCAUGCAACAUAGGAAGGUAAUUGUGGAUGGUUACCUGAAAAUGUUUCUUGUUCCCAUUUAAGAGAAGAGUGAGAUUCUGUAUGUCAAGCAGGACUGAUCUCCCUCCUGUCCUCCAAAUCAUUAAGAAAAUAUUUCCUCCUCAAAGUCAGAACUCACCCAACACCACAGGGAUAUGUUACAGGACAUUUGCUUCAGGGGCUGCUGUUUUUCUGAUAAGAUGGACAGAAUCUUGUUUUGUGUUAGUGGAUACACAGAAAAUCCCCCAUGCUUUACACAUAAAAAGUGCUAUUUCCUGUGUUCUGGCUCAAUUUUGUUUCAGUUAUUUCAUGUCAUUUCAAUUAAUGCUUGCAGGCAUAUGGUGACACAGAUUGAAGGAUGUUGAAAAGACUGGAAACAUUCUAGAAAGCAGGGAAAUAAUCAGGGACAAUGGUAGAUACCAUAUUUACUAGAGGAUACACCUUUGUCCAAGUACAGAGUCAGGAGACUUUGAGCCAAAUUGAAGAUGACAAAUUCAAAAGCCAAUGAGGAAAAUGCUCUUAAUACAGCAUAUAAAUAACUCCUGCUUCUUGGAAGAAGUGCUGAAUUAGAUGACAUAAGGACUUCCCAUUACAUAAAAGAGGAAGCAAAAAUAUACCUCUCUAAAAUCUCCCUCUUCAAUUUGACUCAGAGUAUUAAAGCACAGACUUCUAACUCAUGAAAGCCUUGAUUUAGGAGACUGCUUCAGCAUGCACCAGUAUUUUAGGCUCUAAGUAAUUCCAUUGACUCCAUUAGCAAUCCGUGCUCACUUGAAGUAAAGCACAUGUGAAGGGGUUUUAUUAGCUGUUGGCCUAAGAAAACUGUUAAUUACAUGGCAUAAGGAAGAGUUUUUUCCCUGAGAGCUCUUUUGGAAUUUGUUCUGGUGUAUUGCUUUUACUUGUUGUGCCCAAUUGGACUGAAGGAAGACCUAAAUGCAUUUGUGGAGCCUGUUAGCCCUACUAGAUUACAUCUAAGAUAAAUGUCAAACUGAAAACAUUGUCAAU